rnacentral:rRNA from 1 species
AGUGAACGCUGGCGGUAGGCCUAACACAUGCAAGUCGAACGGCAGCACAGUAAGAGCUUGCUCUUACGGGUGGCGCGUGGCGGACGGGUGAGGAAUACAUCGGAAUCUACUUUUUCGUGGGGGCUAACGCAGGGAAACUUACGCUAAUACCGCAUACGACCUACGGGGGAAAGCAGGGGAUCUUCGGACCUUGCGCGAUUGAAUGGGCCGAUGUCGGAUUAGCUAGUUGGCGGGGUAAAGGCCCACCAAGGCGACGAUCCGUAGCUGGUCUGAGAGGAUGAUCAGCCACACUGGAACUGAGACACGGUCCAGACUCCUACGGGAGGCAGCAGUGGGGAAUAUUGGACAAUGGGCGCAAGCCUGAUCCAGCCAUACCGCGUGGGUGAAGAAGGCCUUCGGGUUGUAAAGCCCUUUUGUUGGGAAAGAAAAGCAGCAGGUUAAUACCCCGCUGUUCUGACGGUACCCAAAGAAUAAGCACCGGCUAACUUCGUG